UGAGAGAAACUGGAAGAGAAGAAAGAGAAACUGGAAGAGAAGAAAUCUUUUGCUGGCGAUUCUUUUUUUAUUCUCUCCUCUCUCUCUCC
rnacentral:ribozyme from 13 species